rnacentral:rRNA from 1 species
CCUACGGGUGGCAGCAGUGAGGAAUAUUGGCCAAUGGACGAGAGUCUGAACCAGCCAAGUAGCGUGAAGGAUGACUGCCCUAUGGGUUGUAAACUUCUUUUAUAUGGGAAUAAAAUGUUCCACGUGUGGGAUUUUGUAUGUACCAUAUGAAUAAGGAUCGGCUAACUCCGUGCCAGCAGCCGCGGUAAUACGGAGGAUCCGAGCGUUAUCCGGAUUUAUUGGGUUUAAAGGGAGCGUAGGUGGAUUGUUAAGUCAGUUGUGAAAGUUUGCGGCUCAACCGUAAAAUUGCAGUUGAAACUGGCAGUCUUGAGUACAGUAGAGGUGGGCGGAAUUCGUGGUAUAGCGGUGAAAUGCUUAGAUAUCACGAAGAACUCCGAUUGCGAAGGCAGUUCACUGGACUGCAACUGACACUGAGGCUCGAAAGUGUGGGUAUCAAACAGGAUUAGAUACCCCAGUAGUC